CAUAGCGACUAUCGUGGCAUAUCAAUAAGCGGAGGAAAAGAAACUAACAAGGAUUCCCUUAGUAACGGCGAGUGAAGCGGGAAGAGCUCAAAUUUGAAAUCUUCAAGGUUCUACCUUGACGAAUUGUAGUUUAUAGAAGUGUUUUCUGUUAGUAGGAGUGGCAAAAGUUCUUUGGAAUAGGACAGUCAUAGAGGGUGAGAAUCCCGUAUUUGGUCAUUCCUUCUAGCGUUGUGAUACACUUUCAACGAGUCGGAUUGUUUGGGAAUGCAGUCCAAAAUGGGUGGUAAAUUUCAUCUAAAGCUAAAUAUUGGCGAGAGACCGAUAGCGAACAAGUACCGUGAGGGAAAGAUGAAAAGAACUUUGAAAAGAGAGUUAAACAGUACGUGAAAUUGUCAAAAGGGAAGCGUUUGACACCAGUGUUGUUUUUCCGAAAAUCAAUUACGAAUGUUUUGUUUUUGAGGAGUUACUGACUUCAUCGGCUUGCUUCCUUUCUUUACGAAACUUUCUUAAUGCACUUUUCGGUUAACAAGUCAACAUCAAUUUCUUUUGUUGUAAAAGGGUACUGAGGAAGGUGGCUUUCUUUUCGGAGAAAGUGUUUAUAGCCUUGUGCCUCUACAAUCGGAGAGAUUGAGGUCUGCAGCGUAGAUCCUUCGGGGUUAGAUACAGUUUGUGCUAAGUUAUAGCUUUUCAUAGACAACUUGUUGACCUAUGUUUAGUCUUGUAGCUUACUCGCUGAUGCUAUUUUACCUACGCUUAGGAUGUUGAUAUGCAUGACUGAUAU
rnacentral:rRNA from 1 species